AGUGAACGCUGGCGGUAGGCCUAACACAUGCAAGUCGAACGGCAGCACAGUAAGAGCUUGCUCUUACGGGUGGCGAGUGGCGGACGGGUGAGGAAUACAUCGGAAUCUACUUUUUCGUGGGGGAUAACGUAGGGAAACUUACGCUAAUACCGCAUACGACCUACGGGUGAAAGCAGGGGAUCUUCGGACCUUGCGCGAUUGAAUGAGCCGAUGUCGGAUUAGCUAGUUGGCGGGGUAAAGGCCCACCAAGGCGACGAUCCGUAGCUGGUCUGAGAGGAUGAUCAGCCACACUGGAGCUGAGACACGGUCCAGACUCCUACGGGAGGCAGCAGUGGGGAAUAUUGGACAGUGGGCGCAAGCCUGAUCCAGCCAUAGCGCGUGAGUGAAGAAGGCCUUCGGGUUGUAAAGCCCUUUUGUUGGGAAAGAAAAGCAGCAGGUUAAUACCCCGCUGUUCUGACGGUACCCAAAGAAUAAGCACCGGCUAACUUCGU
rnacentral:rRNA from 1 species